ensembl:lncRNA
CUGACCGCAAAGUACACAGCAAGGCAUUCUCGAGCUUCGUGUUUAUUCUCUAACUGUACAUGUUUUAUUAAUUGGUCUGCAAAGCUCAGUUCUGCUCCCGAGGCAGGCAUUCUACUAUCCCAGAGAACAGCUGGACUUCCUCAGAGAGUCUGCCAGCAAGCCAGGCUGCCUUUCUUACCCCUCAGGCAUAUAAGAAUGGUCAGAGGACUUGGUUUUUCUCACCGCUAAGGGACUACCAGACACCUCUCUGCUUUCUUGAAUGUCUUUCCUUGGACUUGUGUGUGUGUGUGUUGGCAGUACCCUUCUUUUCUAAGCACCUUUGAAAGACAUUUCUUUCUCUCCUGAGUGUGUCUCUUGUCUUCCCUCUGGCAGUUAAAUACAAUAUUUAGCUUCUUUCUGUAUUUUUUUUUUCCUCUUUUGACUUGGUGAAAAAUAGAGGGGCGAAAGCUUUACGGAAACCUCAGCAUGUGUGUUUCGCUUGCCCUUUGUUUCCCAGUGCCUAGCACAGUGGCUUGCAACUCAAAACUUUUAUUCAGUGUGGAUGGAUGGAUGGAUGGAUUGAUGACUACAUGUUUGUAAGGAAGGUGUGGAAUCCAGCUGAAGGUGCAGCACAACCGUGAAAGGAACGACUCUAGGCAACAGGUUGUCUGAAGCUCCAUAAAUCAAGAGGGAGGGGGACUCAAUCCCAGAGUUGUUGACCGUGUUGUCAUAGCUGGCUGGGCUCUGGAGUGAGGAUGGCCAGUGUUGGGCACAAUUAAUUCAUCCAUAGAAGGAAGAAGACAUUGAGCAAAAUAUUUCAAUGAAGUAAUGGAUUUAGAUGCUGUCAGGAACAUCUAAACAGCACAGCAAUUGCUUCUACGUCAAACGUGACAUUUGGCAUCGAGGGAGGAUGACACACUCUGGUUUCUAUGGAGAGAAGACACAGAUGCUCUGCAUUUGGGACCCUUCCAGACCUCGUCUUAAGUGUCUCUUCAUCUAGCCAGUCCGGAUUUGUAUCCUUUAUAAUAAAACUGUAGUUUUGUCAACUUACAUAUCAAGUGGGUCGGAACAGAAGCAGUUAGUUUCCAUAAAGCAGAUGGACUGUAUUCCGGAGCUUCUGAAAGUUUCCCAUGAAUUUUACAAGGCAGCUCUGAAAAGGAGGGUGAAAUGAUGACAUCUAACAGCACAGGGGGUGGUUGAGAGACGUGAAAGCCCAAUAGAUUCAUCUGAGCCAAUUGACCCGCCUUGCGCCUGCCAACGACAGACUCGCUCUUCUCCCUCUGUUUUCCCUGAGCUCAUCUGGACUCAUCUGAGUGGGCCUUCAGGGAUCCUUUAUGUGAUUUAAUAGCUAAAACAAGGAGGAUUUGGCCUGCAGGCCACAGGGGUGGGCCAACUCCCUGUCUGAAAGGUAGUGCUCAUUACAAAAAUCUCGAAAAUGUUUCCUUUCACUUAGGUUAAGCUAGGACAGAUAAUUUUACAUUAAAUUGACUCUGGCCAUGGAAGUUCCAUCUAACUGCAGGGUAAAAUUAAGUCUGCAUAUCACAAUAUUGUCCAGGAUAAGGAUCUGGUCACACCUGAUAUUUGACUUAUUUUGUAUCUGUCAGUUUUUGCUGCUUUGGUUAACCUCUCUAGGAGAGAUGUUGGUUUCUCAGAAUAGAUUGUGCCUUUUUAUCAGUAGGGAAAUGUGUACAUACAGUAGAUUAUGGAAUUGGGUAUUAUCAGUAUCAUUGCUUAUCGUUGAUUUCUCUUGUUUCUCCUUUCAAAAAAGAAUUGCAACACCAAAAAAACCCAAAAACAUUGCACUAUAUGUUUUCCAAAAGAGGCUUAGUAAAUUACAAGUAAAUACGGUGUGAAGAAGAUCUCAACACCCACCACACCAUGACACAUACGCGUCACACAUUCAC